rnacentral:tRNA from 1 species
AUAAAAAUAAGCUAAUACAAGCUAUUGGGCUCAUACCCCGACAAUGAGAUGACAAACUCUUUUUACA